rnacentral:misc_RNA from 1 species
CUAAUUAUGGCCCCUCCCCCCACUUUUUAAACUUAUAUCUUAAUGACAAAAUUUGCAUUGGGAUAAAUCACCUGUCCAGUUCAUAUUUAAAAGACUAUGUCUCUCAUGUGGGUCCAUGUCUAGAAUUUUCCAACAUUAGUCAUGUUUUUGCCGAAUUGAUUUGAGGCCGAAGUUCCCCCCCUAACUUUGAGAUCCACUUUAUGGCCUUGAAGGCUUCGCAACAUUAAACUCGAGAAGUGCGACUCUUUUGAGAAGUAUACUAAAAUUAUU